rnacentral:rRNA from 1 species
AUUGAACGCUGGCGGAAUGCUUUACACAUGCAAGUCGAACGGUAACGGGCCUUCGGGUGCCGACGAGUGGCGAACGGGUGAGUAAUGUAUCGGAACGUACCUUUCAGUGGGGGAUAACGUAGCGAAAGUUACGCUAAUACCGCAUAUUCUGUGAGCAGGAAGCAGGGGAUCGCAAGACCUUGCGCUGAUUGAGCGGCCGAUAUCAGAUUAGCUAGUUGGUGAGGUAAAGGCUCACCAAGGCGACGAUCUGUAGCGGGUCUGAGAGGAUGAUCCGCCACACUGGAACUGAGACACGGUCCAGACUCCUACGGGAGGCAGCAGUGGGGAAUUUUGGACAAUGGGGGCAACCCUGAUCCAGCCAUGCCGCGUGAGUGAAGAAGGCCUUCGGGUUGUAAAGCUCUUUCGGCCGGGAAGAAAUCGCAUGGGUUAAUACCCUGUGCGGAUGACGGUACCGGCAUAAGAAGCACCGGCUAACUACGUGCCAGCCGCCGCGGUAAGAC